UACUUAAAAAAAAAAAAAAUUGAGGUGCGUUGACAAUAAUAUAGGGUGCAAAUAGUCUCUCUCGUCUAUGAAAUUUGAGUAGAUUAAACACUUAAAGGUUCUGGAUUUUUCCAAACCAAUGAUAGAAAAGAAAAGAAAAUGAAGAGAAAGAUGAAGGGAAGAAUAGAGAAAGGAAAAGGGAACCAUUGAAGAGGGGGGAAAGGGAGAAAGGCUGUCAAUGGACCGACCUUUCCACCGUUACCGUUUGUAGAUCUUUCUUGAGUCUUAAUCUCUUCCUCCUCAUCCUUCCUUAACUUUUUUUUUUUUUGUGGUUUUUUAUUUUCCUAUUUUGAAGUUUUUUUGUUUUUCAAUUUUGCCUUCAAUUUUUCAAUUUUAAGGUAUUUUUGCGUGUUAUGUGAUUUGCUUGAUCAAAGGUUUUUUUUUUUUUAGGUUUUUGGUUAUUCCUCUAAUAUUAGAGUUUUCGUUAUUGAGCCGUUCAAUUUACAAUUGAAAUUACUCUUACUUUUUUUCAUUAAAAAAUUAGGGUUUUUCUUUGGGCAGUGAAUGGAUAUAUAUAAUAUAGAGAGAGAUAGUAAGUUCUCAGAGAUUGAGUGGUUCACCGUCGUAUGUAGUCAUGUCAAUGACGCUUGACAAUGUAACAAAGCCAAUAUUGAUGGUAUCGUGAUUUGAAAAAGAAGUUGGGCUCUAUGACAGGAAAAAAAAAAAAAGCUACAAAAAAAGAAGUUAUCUGACGAAUUCAAGAGGUAAGCAAGCCACGAAAGCAAUGCCCUCCUGUCUUUCUUUCUUAGAAAAUAGAGAGAAGACUGUGAAAGGUGCAAAGAGAAAGAAAGGGGAAGAUAGGAAAGGAAGAGGAAAGCGGGUACUAGUCAUGGGUCAUGGUCAGUCCACGACUGCUGGCAUCAACAAGGUUGUGGGGGACAUGAUUUGAUACAUAAGGAUUGUGGUUUUUUCUGAUUUGAAACUUUCCAUUUGUAGAAUGGUCCAUCGAUUGCAAGAACUCCCACAAAUUACCAUAUAUGAUAAAAGAAGGUGAAAUUCCAUACUAAAAAAGGUUACGGACAGUGGAGGAAGACAAGCUACUCAUGGAUUAUGUCAAGCUGCAUGGAAAAGGACAAUGGAAUAAAAUAGCCAACGGGACAGGUUUCAAGAGAAGUGGGAAGAGUUCCAAGCUAAGGUGGAUGAAUUACCUAAGCCCCAAUGAAAAGAAAGGCAAUUUUUUGAGGAAGAAGAAGACCUUAUAAUUAGACUUCAUAAGCUUCUUGGAAACAGAUGGUUUUUGAUUGCUAAACGAGUGCCAGGACGAACUGAUGAUGCCAUACCUCACUAAUGUAUGGA